AGACACGUAAAAUUUAAAAGGUCGAACAGACCCAAUAUUUUAGCUUCUGCACCAAAAAUUAAUUUUAAUCCAACAUCGAGGUCGCAAACUCCUUCAUCGAUUAGAACUCUCCGAAAAAAUUACGCUGUUAUCCCUAAGGUAAUUUAGUCUUAUAGUCCAAAAAUCAGGAUCAUUUAUUCAUAAAUUAAUGUUAUAAAAUAUAAAAAGUUUAUUAAGUUUUUAUGUCACCCCAACAAAAUACUGUAAAAACUGAACUUUAACAAAACCUAAAAGAAACAAUAAAAACAAUAUUAAACUCUAUAGGGUCUUCUCGUCUUUAUAAAACAUUUAAGCUUUUUCACUCAAAGAUUAAAAUUCUAAAAAAGUUUUAUUGAGACAGUUAUUUUUUCAUCAAACCAUUCAUUCCAGCUCUCAAUUAAAAAACUAAUGAUUAUGCUACCUUAGCACAGUCAAAAUACUGCGGCCAUUCAAAUUAAUCAUUGGGCAGGUCAGACC
rnacentral:rRNA from 1 species